GGGUACUUUAUGUGCCCUCAUCAGUGGGUAAGUGACACUAACUGCUCGUUAGUAAAGAACUGACUCCAGCAGUUCCCCAGACUAGCACAAGUUCCCCUGCUGCCCUUUUUCUUCAAACCCUUGCUUAGCUUGCUGUAAAUACCCAUGCUUGGGAGAAUGGAUGAGUAACUCCAUGAGCCAAGACGGGGAAUAAUCAGCUUUAAUUCGCUGGAACAAGCAACUGCUGAGAGCCAGCAAACAGCCCAGCUCGCCCUUCUGCUGCUACUGCCAGCCUGGGGGCACCGCCAAGCAAAACUGCCGCCUCCACGCAUGCUCAUCGUGCCGUGCCAUGCCGCACCCUGGCCCCCAAGCAGCACCCAGGGACUGGAGAGAAUCUGAACAUGACUAGCCAGGGGAGCUCGGCAUCAUUCACCAGCCAAGUGUUUGUGAAGAUAAACUGGAUGAGGGUGGAUCUGUGGUGAGGUCCAGGACAGAUACCUGUGCUGAAGAAGAGCCCAUCACGUCUUCCUGAUGACACCCUGAACUGUCAGGAGGCCACACAAGGAUGCAGACGUGGACCAAGUCCUGCAUUGCACAGGGGCCAGCCAAGGAGAUGCAGACAGGCUCAGCAGACUUGGGAUCAGACCUCCUGUGACAUCCUGAAAGCCUGCAGUGGCCACACAGGUGAACCUGACAGCAGAAAGGUUAAAAGGUGUCCCGAGAUGGGGAGUGCUUCACUGGGGAUUAACAUAGCAAAAGGAGAAGGCAGCUGCUGUCACUGCUUAUAGCCACAGUCAGCCUUCACCGAGGGUGAGCUGGGCAGUGAGCAGUGGUCCUCUCACAGAAAACCUUUCCUGCUCUCGUUCUGGGUUUUAUUCUUGCUCUUAACCACUAAAUACACAUAUAUUUUUUUUCUUGUGAAAACAUAGCGGACAAUAAGACUCUACGGUCUUUAUGCAUCAAGCAACCACCUUAGCAAAGAUGCAGGAGUCACUGUAUUUCCAGUCUAGCUUUGAGCCACUUCCCACUGGGACUCAAUCCUGCCUCUUCUACUGCAUAAAGCUCAGGGGAGACUUGAUCAUGGCCUUCAAAUAGAUAAAGGGGCCCUAUAAGAAAGACGGGGAGAGAUUCUUCACCAGGGAGUGUAGUGAUAGGGCAAGGGUUUAAGGACAGCUUUAAACUAAAAGAUGGUAGAGUUAGGUUAGAUAAUUAGAUAAUAGUUGUGAAGAAAUAUUUUACUCUGAGGGUGGUGAGGAACUCAAACAGGUUGCCCACAGAAGCUGUGGAUGUCCCAUCCUUGGAGGCCAGGGAUAGUUGGACAAGGUCCUGGGCAAUCUGAUCUGGUGGGAGGUGUCCCUGCCCAUGUCAUGGAGUUGGAACUGGCUGAUCUUUAAGGUUUCUUUCCAACCCAAGCCAUUUUAUCAUUUUAUGAUUCUAACCCAGCUGCCCAAAUGCUGGCAUUUAACAAAAUUCCUUCUGGGACCCGAACAACCUUUUGCAGGCAAGAUUUCAGCAAAGUGAGUGCACCACCACAGAAAGUGCUGGCUCAUUUCCUAAGUUCAGGUUAAAAAAUAUAUAAAUAAAUAAAUAAAAAAUAAAAUCCAACCCAGUUUAAACAUCAAUGAAACGCCAUUAAAGCAGUGAAACAAAAAUAACUCUGGCCUGAAGACUAAGGGAUUUAAGUGAGACUAGAGAGGGCCUUUAAUUACUUCCAUUUUUACUCUUCAGCAGCCUCAACAAGAUUAAAAUAGUUCCUCCCUCCUCUUCCCAGUGUGUCAGUAGGACAGAGCCAUGCAGAGCACUCACGCGCAGUGCCUCCUCAGACACAACAAUACCUCCGUUGGCUUCCCUCCCCUCCCACAGCAGGCAUUCAGCAUGGAUCUGUCCUACCACAGCCAAAACAAGAGGCACAACAGGUGGAUUUCUUUUUUUGUCUCCAUUCUGUCCCUCUUCUCCCUUCCUCUUUUUUUUUUUUUUUUUUUUUCAGAGGAGAUGCAGAUGGCAGAGUCACUCCCUUUGCGGUGUGUGAGUGGCUAGAUGCAAAAAUUCCCCACAGCUUGUGCAAUUUUCUGAGCUGCCUUCUGCUCACCUCCACCUCCUCAUUUUCCUCUUUAUCUGCUUUCCGUAUUCUCCGUGCUGCCACCGGUCCUGUGGAAAUGAACACAUCAAAGCCAUAAGUAGUCAUUUUUUUCACUGUUCCUGUGUCCUCUCUCCCCCCUCUUCCUUUAGCAUUAAUAUUAAUAGCUACUGUACCUUUCUUCACUGUUGCUUUCUUCUUGAUCCUCAAGGGAGUAAGCCUUUUCUUGGACUUUCUGCUACAGCGAAUGCUUGUUUGAAGGGAUUCUAGGGCAUGCUGGGAAGCACAACGCUGGUGAUGCCUGUGAUACAAUAUUGGGCCAAGCAGCAAAGAUAUAAAAUGUUAUUGUACUCAUUGGAGGAGUCAAGCACGCUUUUAUCCCUGCCACAUAUAGCUGGAUAUUUUUUUUCUUCUUGUUUUUCUAGAAAAAAUAGCUUUUUAAUCAGUCCAAUAUCUCCAAGGAAAGGGAAAAAAAAAAAAAAAAGAAAGAAAAAAGAACAACAAAACAAACAACAAAAACAAACCAAAAUAAAGCAAACCCCAAACAACACAAAGCUCUUUCCUAUUCCCUCCUUGAUGCUUUUCCAUAGGGCUGCUACCUGAGAAGCAAAGGAACAAGUGCUCUUUCACUCCCGUUGUCAAACCAAACGCGCUCACACGCAUAAAUACACACCGCAGCUACACACAGCACCCGCUCCCCCAGCACCACAGUUAUU